UACGAAGGGGGCUAGCGUUGCUCGGAAUUACUGGGCGUAAAGGGCGCGUAGGCGGAUAGUUUAGUCAGAGGUAAAAGCCCAGGGCUCAACCUUGGAACUGCCUUUGAUACUGGCUAUCUUGAGUUCGGGAGAGGUGAGUGGAAUGCCGAGUGUAGAGGUGAAAUUCGUAGAUAUUCGGCGGAACACCAGUGGCGAAGGCGACUCACUGGCUCAUUACUGACGCUCAGGCGCGAUAGCGUGGGGAUCAAACAGG
rnacentral:rRNA from 1 species